GACGAACGCUGGCGGCGUGCUUAACACAUGCAAGUCGAACGGAAAGGCCCUGCUUUUGUGGGGUGCUCGAGUGGCGAACGGGUGGGUAACACGUGAGUAACCUGCCCUUGACUUUGGGAUAACUUCAGGAAACUGGGGCUAAUACCGGAUAGGAGCUCCUGCUGCAUGGGGGGGUUGGAAAGUUUCGGCGGUUGGGGAUGGACUCGCGGCUUAUCAGCUUGUUGGUGGGGUAGUGGCUUACCAAGGCUUUGACGGGUAGCCGGCCUGAGAGGGUGACCGGCCACAUUGGGACUGAGAUACGGCCCAGACUCCUACGGGAGGCAGCAGUGGGGAAUAUUGCACAAUGGGCGGAAGCCUGAUGCAGCAACGCCGCGUGCGGGAUGACGGCCUUCGGGUUGUAAACCGCUUUCGCCUGUGACGAAGCGUGAGUGACGGUAAUGGGUAAAGAAGCACCGGCUAACUACGUG
rnacentral:rRNA from 1 species